rnacentral:lncRNA from 1 species
GAAAGAGAACAAGGCUGUUGGAGUGGGAGUCCCGUGGUGGAGUGUCUGCCUAGCAUGCACCCGGCCCUGGGGCUCUGGGUGCCAUCCCUGACACCACACAUGGUCACCGUCAUAAGGCCCUAAUAUUUACUCUGUCUCCAUAGUGAUUCAGGAACAUUAAUUACUUUUCAAAAGGGAGCAAAGAAUAAAUAAAAAAGAAGAGAGAGGGAGAAGGAAGGAAGGUAGAAGGAAGAGAGAGAAAAGUCUUAGACCUUGUAGAGUGUUCAAAAAAAAAAGACAGAGGAAGGAAGGAAAGAAGAGUGGGAGCAGGUGGAGGAACUGGAUAUGCCACAUGCACAAUACAUUGUGGGCCUGACACUGGUUAUUUCUGUUUGUUUUGUGGUGCGGGGGGUGGAACUAGGGCCUGUACGUGCUAGACAAGGUCUUUGGCAUCCGGCUGCACCCCUAGCUGAACCGUCCUCUUCCCCAUCUCUUCUUCCUCCUCCUCCUUCAUUUCAUACCCAUUUUACAAGUGGGAAGAGUUAGGCCCAGAGUGGCCACUUUGAGUCAGCGUGCCCUGGAUUGGAGUGUCCCUUACUAGUUUGGUGACCUUGUGUGGGUCACUGAUUCUGUCUGGCUUUCCAUUUUCUCAUCUGCAAGAUGGAGACAGUCAUGGCUACUACAUGUCAGGCUGGGAGUGCCAGCGCCAUGGUGGAGCACGUGCUUAACAUGGGCAAGACUCUGGGUUCCAUCCCCAACAUCCUAAGAGGGGAAAAAAUACAAAAAAACAAAAACACUCUGCAGAGCUGUAAAGGAGAUAGUACCUGCAACGCCUAGUCCAUACCUAGCUUUCAAAACCAGGUGGCUCGGAGCACCACUGCUUUUGAGUGAGUUGCUUGGGGCCGUGCGGCUAGCCAGGAGCCACAGUUUGGACUAAAAGUCCAGAGUGCACACAUUUCACACAGCAGACUGACUCACUAGGUAGUGACGAAGCAGGAACGUGGCACAUAAACUAUAAACCCUCUCCCCCACAGGCACACAUUCACACGGGGAGUGACACCUGUUGUUUUCGUCUGCC